ACACUAGCUCCGGUGGUGGCAAUGUGUGUAUUGUAGAGAGAGAGAGAGAGAGAGAGAGAGAGAGAGAGAGAGAGAGAGAGAGAGAGAGAGAGAGAGAGAGAGAGAGAGAGAAAUCCGAGAGAUAGAGAGAGAGAAAGUGUUAUGAAUAUUUUUUAUUUGUUUUAGGGGUAAAAUUGUAAGGGAAAAAUGUUUUAAGUAUAGUUUCCAUAAUGUAAAAAAUGCUAGCAUAGUUUUAGUGUAUUAUUUAUUUUUAAGCAUAUAUUGUCAAAUUUCCCUUUAAAAAUAACAAACCUAAUAGAUAAUAUUUUAUUCUACAUCAUCAGCCAGCCGCACCCCAUUUUAUUUAGCAAAAAACAAAUCACAGAUCUCUCUCUUUCACUCUCGAUUCUUAGGUGGUGGUUUGCAGUGAACCACGAAACAGACAGCCACGGGUUCGGGUGGUUCACGGCAAGGGGUGGGGUUAAAGGUUCGCGGUGAACCUCAUAUCUUGUUCGCUCCAUCUCCUUCGGGGCUCAAAUCUCCAGCAAUCUCUCUAGCUCUUCAGUUCUUUCUAUCCCCGACUUUAUUUCUCAUGCGGAUUUGGUGUGCACGACAUUGACAAUGCCAGUAGCACCGAAGUUUUUGUCGAGAAGUGGCGUGUCGAUUUCCAGGUGGCAGAGAUGGCGGAGGUGGUCAUGAUAGUUUUGGGUAUUGGAUUUCUCGGCUAGAGCUCAAGAGGGAUAUUCUUCAAGGAAAGAAGCUGAGUCGCUUGUUGAUGAGGAAAAUUAUCAAGAGGAAGUUUAUGAUAAUAAUAAUAAUAAGCAUAUUAUUUUUAAUGAUCAAGUUGUGCAGAGAUUUCCUGUUUGUAAAACUUUUAUUAUAUUAAAAUAUUUUAAUCUGUUAUUAUUUUUUUAACUUGGAAUGUAAUAAUAAUGGAUUAUUAAUUUUUUUUUAUUUCUAUAUAAUUGUUGAUAUGUAUUGAAUCUCAAAUU